UACGUAGGGUGCGAGCGUUAUCCGGAAUUACUGGGCGUAAAGCGCGCGCAGGCGGCUUUGCAAGACAGAUGUGAAAUCCCCGGGCUUAACCUGGGAACUGCAUUUGAGACUGCAUGGCUGGAGUGCGGCAGAGGGGGAUGGAAUUCCGCGUGUAGCAGUGAAAUGCGUAGAUAUGCGGAGGAACACCGAUGGCGAAGGCGAUCCCCUGGGCCUGCACUGACGCUCAUGCACGAAAGCGUGGGGAGCAAACAGG
rnacentral:rRNA from 1 species